UGGGGAAUUUUGGACAAUGGGCGAAAGCCUGAUCCAGCAAUGCCGCGUGUGUGAAGAAGGCCUUCGGGUUGUAAAGCACUUUUGUCCGGAAAGAAAUCCUCUGGGUUAAUACCUCGGGGGGAUGACGGUACCGGAAGAAUAAGCACCGGCUAACUACGUGCCGGCAGCCGCGGUAAUACGUAGGGUGCAAGCGUUAAUCGGAAUUACUGGGCGUAAAGCGUGCGCAGGCGGUUUUGUAAGACGGAUGUGAAAUCCCCGGGCUUAACCUGGGAACUGCAUUCGUGACUGCAAGGCUAGAGUAUGGCAGAGGGGGGUAGAAUUCCACGUGUAGCAGUGAAAUGCGUAGAGAUGUUGAGGAAAACCGAUGGCGAAGGCAGCCCCCUGGGCCAAUACUGACGCUCAUGCACGAAAGCGUGGGGAGCAAACA
rnacentral:rRNA from 1 species